AGAGUGAACGCUGGCGGUAGGCCUAACACAUGCAAGUCGAACGGCAGCACGGUAAGAGCUUGCUCUUAUGGGUGGCGAGUGGCGGACGGGUGAGGAAUACAUCGGAAUCUACCUUUUGGUGGGGGAUAACGUAGGGAAACUUACGCUAAUACCGCAUACGCCCUUCGGGGGAAAGCCGGGGACCAGCAAUGGCCUGGCGCUGAUAGAUGAGCCGAUGUCGGAUUAGCUAGUUGGUGAGGUAAUGGCUCACCAAGGCGACGAUCCGUAGCUGGUCUGAGAGGAUGAUCAGCCAC
rnacentral:rRNA from 1 species